GAGGGUGGUGCGGUAUAUGUACAGGGUCUCAGAGCAUCUCCGAUCUCCAGCUUACAAAGGAGAGAUAGAGUGAGCAGAGCUCUGCAUCCACUCCUGCCCUGAUCAACUCCUCUCUACCUGGGUCUCAGGGUUGUCUGGGAAGGCUUUAGAUAGUUAUUCUUGGACGGUGAAAGGGUGAUAGAUUGGACUGGGGAAGUGAUGGAAUAAUUGCUUUCACGUGGUGGAGGGUGGCUCCUUGCUGAACGGGGAGGUACAAACUCUGAGGGGCUCCGGGAUGGUUCUUCUGGAAACUCAGCCAUCGGCCUCGUUCUGAGCAUCUGAGCCUCUCCGUGGUACUCGGAGAGAGGUUACCCGAGCAACUUUGCAUCUGGAGGACGAAUGUUGCUCGGUGAACCCCUUUUCGGUAUCAAAUCCCUCCAGGGAGGCCACCUCAGGGAAGACCAUGGACUCAUCUCUGCUCUGGGGUAUGGGACGGAUGGUCGACCAGCUGGAAAGUAAUUGUUUGUAAUGUACUUCACCUGGUCCACUAGCCGUCGGUGCCCGCUGCAGCCUGCGCCCGGGAUGUCACGGCCUCCGCUCAACACCUCUGCUGGUACUUGAAGGGAGAUCGACCGUGUUAUAUUCGCUUGGCUGACUUCGAAUAAUACAUGGUUGAUCUUUUCUCAGUAUCAACGCUCAGCUUGGAGAAGCUCUUGGAGUUGCAGCCCCCGUGGGGGUGGGGACAGCAUGGUGCUUCUAGGUUGCUGCCUCCUCGGGGAAGCGGGCUGGGUGGGACAGGCUGUGUGCUGCUUGUGUCAACCCUUCUCACCAUUUAUAUGCAAUCCCCCCUUCCCCCCAGGACAGCUUCAGGUGGUGAUUCCAGCUCCCGGGUUGCUGUGGUCAACACUGGGUACUUGAGGAGAGGUUGUCUGUGAUGAGUUCGCUUUAUUAAUGACGAAUAUAACACAGAUGGCCUGUUUUCAAUACCACCUGCCACUCCGGUCACUCGGCAGUACAUACCAGGUGUCACACCGCUGCCCGGCAGGUGAUGUGACGACACUGAAUUGGUCCGGAACCCUGCCUGUGCUCCAUGCCAGCUACCAGUCCUAGGUUGGCACAUUCCAUUGGGGACAUCCAUGGGAGAGCUAUGGCCAUUAACAAGUCCUGAGACCUGAUCUGAUGCCAUCAGUGGCCCAGCAGCUGCUCUACUGCCUCUCUUCCUGGAUCUCCUGCUUAUGACAACUGACAACAAAGAUAUUUGACUCCGGAAGAUGCUCCCCACAGCUCACCUGAGAGGACUAUCCAGUACCCCACCCCCACCCCCACUGUGCCCUGUGCCAUCCACCUCUGAGUCCCCAACUUUAAGUAGACCCUGCUUCUCACCCAUGUCCCAAUUCCCACCAGGAGCCUUGCAUUUCAGAUCUGAGCAGCCCUGGCUUAGAAUCCUGAAGUGGGGGUGGGUAGGCAGACCCCCGGGGACUGAGCAGGGAGGGGAAGGGGGUUCUGCUCUUGGCUUUCCAAGUUCUCGGUAUGUAUAGCCCUUUGAAUAAUAAACAUAUAUCAUA